rnacentral:rRNA from 1 species
CCUACGGGUGGCAGCAGUGAGGAAUAUUGGUCAAUGGGCGGAAGCCUGAACCAGCCAAGUAGCGUGCAGGAUGACGGCCCUACGGGUUGUAAACUGCUUUUAUACGGGAAUAACGCGCCUUACGUGUAGGGCUUUGCAUGUACCGUAUGAAUAAGGACCGGCUAAAUCCGUGCCAGCAGCCGCGGUAAUACGGAAGGUCCGUGCGUUAUCCGGAUUUAUUGGGUUUAAAGGGAGCGUAGGCGGCAUGUGAAGCGAGUUGUGAAAUGUCCGGGCUCAACCCGGGCAUUGCAGCGCGAACUGGCUGGCUUGAGUGCGUGGAAGGCAGGCGGAAUUCGUGGUGUAGCGGUGAAAUGCUUAGAUAUGACGAAGAACCCCGAUUGCGAAGGCAGCUUGCUGCAGCGGAACUGACGCUGAUGCUCGAAAGCGAGGGUAUCGAACAGGAUUAGAUACCCUUGUAGUC